CAACUGCAACUACUUUAAAGUCAUUCACUCCUUCAGCAUCAAUACGAUCUGCACCAAUAGACCCAGAUCAAUAGUUUUAAUUGGAAUAAAUGUACUCUGUCUAUUAAAUCAAUUUGUCCAGAUGUCCUAAGAAUCGUUUUGUCCUUUUCCUAAAAGUGCAGCGCUUGCUUUUUAAGUAUUGUGUCCAGUGUGGAGGCCGUUUGAAGCGGCUUCAAAAGGAACACCAAUCAGUCCGUCCUCCAUCCGUUCAAAGCGCCACAUGAAACUGCUUUUCAUUGGCUAAGAAUAGCUAUUAUUCUCAAUGACGGUCGCUAAUAGCAUGAACGAACAAACCUUUGAAAGAGCGGAAUAGAAUCCAGGACCAAUCUCAUCCUCUUCAACGAUACAUAGUGACAUUGUCAUGUAGCGAGGUGGUAAAUGAGGUAAAAACAAUUUCAUAAUACAAUAACAACAAGAUUUAUUGUAGAAGCUACUUUGCAAAAGCAUGAGAACGAAAGCUCCUAAACGCAUCUUAAAAACAUUAAGACCAAAGCACGACUAUCUGCCUCACUCAAGCGAGGCCAUAACCUCCAUGACCACACAGAAAUUUAAAAAAGAAAUAGCGAGAGCACCAUGAAUAGACGUUUACACAUUUUGGGGCUGGUUGUUCCAGUAUACGGGGAUUGUGCUUUGAUCACUUCUUUGAUUUAAGAAAAAUACAAUUUCACACGAGGUCUCCUUUUUGUGGAAACAUGGCUCCAUUUCAGCGGGAAAAAUAGAAUCUUCUCACAGGUUCCGUCACAUUCAGCCUCUGAUCCCGUGAAAUGAAAGUACACUGUGGAUGAAUCUAUUCACUUAAAACUAAUCCCAACUCCCGUCCUUCCAUCACGUCAACCACCUCGUCUUUAACAGUCCGCUUUUUCAAAUGGCGGCUUUGAAUGUGGCCGGCGGCACUUUUGUUGUUGCGGCCAACUGGUUGAAGGCGUGUGUGGUGGAAGCGCGGACUGAGGAGGAACAGGGGCAGAGAGAGCUGGGACCCCCAUGAAUGAUGCCUCUCGGUUCCUCGUAAAAAAACACC
ensembl:lncRNA